AUGCUUCUCUGCGCAGAGUCCUGGAUGCUCCCUAGCCAAGCUCCUGCAUCUUUUCUGUAUGGAAGAGGCCCUUGUUUGGACCGAGGCAGCAUCAGGCUUGACUGUGAAAAGCCAAGAUCAGAACGUGGAGGUGGAAAACAUCUCACUGAAAGCAUCCAAGAGGAACUGCUCUUGCAUCUUUCAAUGGAUCCCUUCAGAAGGGCAAUUCACAAGAUUUUGCACAGACACAAGAGAAAUAAGGGCGCUUAGAAGGAUGAGCUCCCAAUGACCACACGGAGGAUCAACUCUUCCAGCAAAUACCACCAACUCAGUCUCAACUACUGGACAGUUUCCCAGGUCCUAGGGAUGUGAAUGGGACCCAAAGGCAACCCUGGUAUGUUGUGCCUCAUCUCAUCUCCUUAUGGCAUUCAAAUAAAUAGUAAUCAAUAGGCAAUUUACAUCUCUGCUGCAGCAUUUGCUAAAAAUGCCAAGGGAAAAAGUGCACUGCCUUAGUGCACAGCAAAACUCACAACUCCUCUCCCCGGGCUGUCUCUGUUCUCAUCAUUCCAUACAUAGCCCCUGAGACUCACUCAUAAAUCAAACCCUAGCAGCCUUUCUGCUUUUUCUCACUUCCCUAUUUGGUGUCAGCUACUGGCUUCUUCCAGUUUUCCUUUUCUACCAUCACCCAGAUACUGUGUGAGAAAAGAGAGGAGUAAGCCAAGUGGGCCUGGGGCAGAAACAGAUGGCACAGAUUUACAACUUAUAUUUUCUUUUAUAACUUGUCAUUUAUUCCUCCUUCAAGGAGUGCCCAUUCUGAGCAUGGCUGUGUUUUAGUCAAACCAAGGUGUAAAAUAUUAUGUUAUCAUCUGUGUGUUGAUAAAUAAGCCUUAGCAUUAGUAAAAAAAAAAAAGAAAGAAAGAAAGAAAGAAUUUAACAGUGAGCAAAGAAGCUUUAAUGUCCUCAAAUGUGAUCCAGGAAUAGCUCCUUUGUGAGAGUGGAGAAAACAGACCUGCUUUUUCCUAAUUCCCAAUGGCCAGUUUCUUAAAAUCAAUCUAGGAAUCAUUUGCGACAACAUGGAUGGAACUACAGCGUAUCAUGCUUAGCGAAAUAAGUCAAGCAGAGAAAGACAACUAUCAUAUGAUCUCCCUGAUAUGAGGAAGUGGUGAUGUAACAUGNN
rnacentral:lncRNA from 1 species